CUAGCUAGCUAGCUAGCAAACGUAGCUACACACAAUACCAAAGACAAUAUCAGCAUGUGAAGUAGUUAGUUAGCAGUAAAAUCACCUAAACAACCUGCACUAUCAAUUUAGGAGUCUACAAUCUCACCAUGUUCAACCUGCAGAUCGAUGUGCCUCACAGAGUGGAGUCUGACAUUUGCAAAUGCAACAUGCAAUCACAGAUCCCAGAGUGAUGCAGGCCUGUGAAGUCUGCAGUGCAGUUUGAGGUAAAGUGUGAGGUUUGUUUGUUAAAGUGUCAGCCGGCUUCUACUACAGUAUAUCUGCCAUAUGCCUGCAAAGCAUCCAGAGACAUAUGGGACAUAGAAACCUCCAGCGUACACCAGGCCAUCCCAGCAGGCCUACCCAAGACAUACCCCUUCUGCAUGGAUGGCUCAGCACCAAGGGGUGGCAAUGACUGAUGAUGGAUGAUGGACUCGUUCAGCAGUUUACCGUGUCAUCCUUACAAGUUAUCUAGAGAUGUUUGAGUUAUACAGAAACUCUGUUCUCAAAAACUGUCUUGAAGGCAUGAAAAACAAGGCCUCUACUAUAAAAUGUUGUCAACAGCCCAGACCAGACAGUACACUAAAUAUAGUGUAUUUUUGGAGCUAGAUAAGCUGUUUUGGUUAACUUCAAUCAGGUUUAAUGGCUCAAUCUCUAUGCAUUACAUAUUAGGGGGGCUUAAAACAUUAGUACAAUAAUAUCACUAAUGUUUUUCAUUGGUCAUAUUAUUAUGGAUGAGGGUUUUAUCACACAGGUCAAGUCAGCCAUCUCAUUGAUCUAAGAGACUUAAUAACAAAGAUUGAUAAAGAAUGUUAAAUGUGCCCAUUGUGAGCAUUCCUGUGGAGGGGUCAUAUAGGUCAAUAUGAGGCAAAAGUUGCCUAGUUGCUAUAACACAACUAAUGUGGUGGGCCACUCAAAAUGUAAAAGAAUAACUACUUUGUUCCAUCAAAAUAUAUCAAUAUUAAACACAUUAUUGUA